rnacentral:rRNA from 1 species
CUUGGCGACCAUAGCGUUAUGGCCCCACCUGAUCCCAUGCCGAACUCAGUAGUGAAACGUAAUAGCGCCGAUGGUAGUGUGGGGCCUCCCCAUGUGAGAGUAGGACAUCGCCAGGC